rfam:Nicotiana sylvestris Nsyl_contig132889, whole genome shotgun sequence.
GGAUGCGAUCAUACCAGCACUAACGCAUCGGAUCUCAUCAGAACUCCGAAAUUAAGCGUGCUUGGGCGAGAGUAGUACUAAGAUGGGUGACCCCCUGGGAAGUCCUCGUGUUGCAUCCC